GUCAGGGAGGCAGACUCAAGGUCAGGGCAGGCAGAACAAGGUCAGGGCAGGCAGAAUCAAGGUCAGGGCAGGCAGACUCAAGGUCAGGGAGGGCAGAGUCAAGUCAGGGAGGGCAGACUCAAGGUCAGGGCAGGCAGAGUCACGGUCAGGGAAGGCAGACUCAAGGUCAGGGCAGGCAGAGUCAAGGUCAGGGCAGGCAGACUCAAGGUCAGGGCAGGCAGAGUCAAGGUCAGGGCAGGCAGAGUCAAGGUCAGGGCAGGCAGAGUCAAGGUCAGGGCAGGCAGAGUCAAGGUCAGGGCAGGCAGAAUCAAGGUCAGGGCAGGCAGAGUCAAGGUCAGGGCAGGCAGAGUCAAGGUCAGGGCAG
ensembl:lncRNA